rnacentral:rRNA from 1 species
UACAGAGGGUGCAAGCGUUAAUCGGAAUUACUGGGCGUAAAGCGUGCGCAGGCGGCUAUGCAAGACAGAUGUGAAAUCCCCGGGCUCAACCUGGGAACUGCAUUUGUGACUGCAUAGCUAGAGUACGGUAGAGGGGGAUGGAAUUCCGCGUGUAGCAGUGAAAUGCGUAGAUAUGCGGAGGAACACCGAUGGCGAAGGCAAUCCCCUGGACCUGUACUGACGCUCAUGCACGAAGGCGUGGGGAGCAAACAGG